AGAUGGGUGGGGCUGCUCCUGCACACAGGAUGCCCUCUUGGUCCUUCAGAAUCAUGAGACUUAGCUUGGCUGCCUAUGGCUGCCUACCUCGUGGUACACAAAUGAAUAUAGUUAGUUGUCACGCAUGUCAUUAGAGCUAGAGCACAUGUCAUUUGCAGCCAUGAGACAAAGAGAGAGAAAGACGAGGUGUACCCUGCCGGGGCGACUCGCCCCUGUCGACUGUCUCCUUGUACCUUUUGAUAACUACUCAACGCUGCACAGCACAGGAUUCAGCAUUCAAUCACUCUUAUAAUUUUAUUGUCAUUUCAUCUUUUAUGGGGGACGCCCCACUCUUAAUUUUUAUCACUGCUGACGUACGUAUAUAUAAGAGCACUACAAGAUACGACAGGAAACCUUCCAGGCCGCAACAUAGAAUGCUGGCUUUCUGAUCGAGGAGGAUUAUUGGCCGGGGAUGGAGUGGAUCUACCUCUGAGAGACAAAGGGCCAGUUACUGUAUCAUGCGAUUUUCUGACAGGAAAGGCUACUCUAAACAGAGGGAGUCGGCCACACAAGGUAUAGUCUAAUAAUUAUUGUACAGUACUAGAUGAUCUUCUCUGUUUUGGGUCAGAUGCAAUUGCCUUGAAUCACUAGCCAGUUUAAAACAUUUCUUCUACUCUUGGCUUAAGAAAUUGUAUUUUAUUAUUGUACCAGCAUUAGGUAGUUAACUCCACUUAUGCAUUGACCUCUACUACCGUGUAGCGGGAAAUUUCGUUAUUUGAGCACUCGAGAAAUGUUGUAUAGUUGUUCACAUUUCAAUGCCAGGAAACCAUAGCUUUGCAUGUGAAAUACUGGUGCGUGGGAGUGUCUUCCAUUUAUAUUACAUGAAGUGUGAAGUGUGUUGUAAGUUUGUACAGAGAGGACUCCCAUGGUGGCAAUGAUCUGAUGAUGGCUCCACUGCUCUGAUGGACCAAUGCAGGAGAAGUUAUUCUGUAUAAUUAUUACACUAAAUUAAUGUAUGCCACUGUUUGGAUCGGUUUCUGUUCUGCUCAGCUUCUUCCUCCAACUUGCUUACGCAGGCUAAGCUUAUUCUUAAUUAGUUCAUUCUUAGUUCAUUCUAUAGUCUAGUAUUAUUGUCGGUUUGGUUGUUUUAUGUUUUUCACCUGGUCAUACGGAAUCACUUCAUUAAUUUUUAUACAGUGCAGACCACACCUCUAUCCACACAUUGUACCUGCACAUCCUGUAUAUAUGGGGCCACACCCCCACUCACUGUACUGAUAUGUGGUCACACCCCCAUACAUGGUAACCCUCUUGACCACACCCCCACCCAUGCAUUGUGUCGUACAUGCUGUGUUUUUGUGUACAGUACACACAUCAUCCGUGUCUUUGUCCCCACACCUAGUCGGAGGGACAGCAAGUUCUACUAAGAGCCAGCAUCACCAACUAACCAACACACUACAAGACCUACCUACUACCAGCUAGGACAGCACACCACCCGGGACAGACUCUACUAUACCAUGUAAUACGCCUUUGUAUUACGAUCAUGAUACAAUUUGCUGCCCUCCCUCGCCCAUGGAUUGAAUAAUUAUGGACGAGACUGACACACAAUAAUAGACACCAAAGGGCCAGUUACUGUAUCAUGUACGAAUAUUCUGUUGCUUGUACAUUUCGUAACAUUAUCAGUAAUUGACUGUAGAGUAGCUCCCCUUUCUUCAUCACUCAAUGCAGGCAGUGUAUGUGAUUUUCUGACAGGAAAGGCUACUCUAAACAGAGGGAGUCGGCCACACAAGGUAUAGUCUAAUAAUUAUUGUACGGUACUUAGGGUCAGAUGCAAUUGCCUUCAAUCACUAGCCAGUUUAAAACAUUUCUUCUACUCUUGGCUUAAGAAGUUGUAUUUUAUUAUUGUACCAGUAUUAGGUAGUUAACUCCACUUAUGCAUUGACCUCUACUACUGUGUAGCGGGAAAGUUCAUUAUUUGAGCCCUCGAGAAAUGCUGUAUAGUUGUUCUCAUUUCAAUGCCAGGAAACCAUAGCUUUGCAUGGUGCGUGGGAGUGUCUUCUAUUUUUAUUACAUGAAGUGUGAAGUGUGUUGUAAGUUUGUACAGACCCAUGGUCUGAUGAUGGCUCCACUGCUCUGAUGGACCAAUGCAGGAGAAGUUAUUCUGUAUGAUUAUUACACUAAAUUAAUGUAUGCCACUGUUUGGAUCGGUUUCUGUUCUGCUCAGCUUCUUCCUCCAACUUGCUUACGCAGGCUAAGCUUAUUCUUAAUUAGUUCAUUCUUAGUUCAUUCUAUAGUCUAGUAUUAUUGUCGGUUUGGUUGUUUUAUGUUUUUCACCUGGUCAUACGGAAUCACUUCAUUAUUAUCAGUGCAGACCACACCUCUAUCCACACAUUGUACCUGCACAUCCUGUAUAUAUGGGGCCACACCCCCACUCACUGUACUGAUAUGUGGUCACACCCUCAUACAUGGUAACCCUCUUGACCACACCCCCACCCAUGCAUUGUGUCGUACAUGCUGUGUUUUUGUGUACAGUACACACAUCAUCCGUGUCUUUAUCCCCACACCUAGUCGGAGGGAGCAGCAAGUUCUACUAAGAGCCAGCAUCACCAACUAACCAACACACUACAAGACCUACCUACUACCAGCUAGGACAGCACACCACCCGGGACUUAAUACGCCUUUGUAUUACGAUCAUGAUACAAUUUGCUGCCCUCCCUCACCCAUGGAUUGAAUGAUUAUGGACACUCGCAGGACAACUAAGAGACUGACACACAAUAAUAGACACCAAAGGCAGUGUAUGUUAUUUUCUGACAGGAAAGGCUACUCUAAACAGAGGGAGUCGGCCACACAAGGUAUAGUCUAAUAAUUAUUGUACGGUACUCUCUGUUUUGGGUCAGAUGCAAUUGACUAGCCAGUUUAAAACAUUUCUUCUACUCUUGGCUUAAGAAGUUGUAUUUUAUUAUUGUACCAGCAUUAGGUAGUUAACUCCACUUAUGCAUUGACCUCUACUACUGUGUAGCGUAAAAGUUCGUUAUUUGAGCCCUCGAGAAAUGUUGUAUAGUUGUUCAUAUUUCAAUGCCAGGAAACCAUAGCUUUGCAUGGUGCGUGGGAGUUUCUUCCAUUUAUAUUACAUGAAGUGUGUUGUAAGUUUGUAUAGAGAGGACUCCCAUGGUGGCAAUGAUCUGAUGAUGGCUCCACUGCUCUGAUGGACCAAUGCAGGAGAAGUUAUUCUGUAUAAUUAUUACACUAAAUUAAUGUAUGCCACUGUUUGGAUCGGUUUCUGUUCUGCUCAGCUUCUUCCUUCAACUUGCUUACGCAGGCUAAGCUUAUUCUUAAUUAGUUCAUUCUUAGUUCAUUCUAUAGUCUAGUAUUAUUGUCGGUUUGGUUGUUUUAUGUUUUUCACCUGGUCAUAUGGAAUCACUUCAUUAUUAUCAGUGCAGACCACACCUCUAUCCACACAUUGUACCUGCACAUCCUGUGUAUAUGGGGCCACACCCCCACUCACUGUACUGAUAUGUGGUCACACCCCCAUACAUGGUAACCCUCUUGACCACACCUCCACCCAUGCAUUGUGUCGUACAUGCUGUGUUUUUGUGUACAGUACACACAUCAUCCGUGUCUUUAUCCCCACACCUAGUCGGAGGGAGCAGCAAGUUCUACUAAGAGCCAGCAUCACCAACUAACCAACACUACAAGACCUACCUACUACCAGCUAGGACAGCACACCACCCGGGACAGACUCUACUAUACCAUGUAAUACGCCUUUUUAUUACGAUCAUGAUACAAUUUGCUGCCCUCCCUUGCCCAUGGAUUGAAUAAUUAUGGACACUCGCAGGACAACUAAGAGACUGACACACAAUAAUAGACACCUAACUGCAUUUUUGCCAUUAAUAUAAUAAAAAUAAUUUUGCCAUUAA